rnacentral:rRNA from 1 species
UGGUCAAGUUAUUAAGGGUGCAGGGCGGAUGCCUUGGCACUAGGAGCCGAUGAAGGACGUGAUAAGCUGCGAUAAGCUUCGGGGAGUUGCACGUAAACUUUGAUCCGAAGAUUUCCGAAUGAGGAAACUCACUUAGAGUAAUGUCUAAGUAUCAUUAAGUGAAUACAUAGCUUAAUGAGGGGAACUCAGGGAACUGAAACAUCUAAGUACCUGAAGGAAGAGAAAGAAAUUCGAUUCCGUAAGUAGCGGCGAGCGAACGCGGAUUAGCCCAAACCAAUAAAGUUUUCUUUAUUGGGGUUGCGGACAUAUCAUAACGAAGAGGUAUCGUAAUUGAAGAGGUUUGGAAAGACCCACCACAGAAGGUAAUAGUCCUGUAUGUUAAACGAGAAGACUUUAGAUAUGAUCCAGAGUACCACGGGACACGUGAAACCCUGUGGGAAGCAGGAGGGACCACCCUCCAAGGCUAAAUACUACCUAGUGACCGAUAGCGUAUAGUACCG